CCUUCGGUAGCUCAGUUGGAAGAGCGUCAGACUGUAACUGGAUACGAGCCAUCAUCUGAAUGUCGCUGGUUCGAUCCCGGCCCGGAGGA